GUCAGGAGUCAUAAGAAGUUUGCGCUCGGCUAAUAACCUCCAUUAGGUCAAUAUUUCAUGAGAGAAAAAGCUCAUCAUCUUCUAUUUCAAUUCAGAAUUUUCUAUCUUUUCGUCGUCUGAAGACCAGAAGAAUCAUCAACUCGAGCUGAAAAGAAAUUUGACAAGAAGCUUCAAUUCUAUACCAAUGUUAGAGACACAGUAGCUUCAUUAAGUGUGAGGAAGGAUUCAAGCGCACAAAAAAAUAUCAGUAAGGUGAGUAGUGCUGCAUUUUCUCCAGUUUGAAUUAUUAACAUACUAUUAGUUUAUGAUCAAUGAUUUUCUCAGAGACUGAAGU